rnacentral:misc_RNA from 1 species
AUAACUUUGGUCCUUAUAUAUUCUAUUAUUAAAAGAACCUCCAAGAGGCCUCUUGGUCUAGGGGUAUGAUUCCUGCUUUGGGUGCAGGAGGUCCCGGGUUCAAAUCCCGGAGGGGCCCAAUUUUUUUUUCCUCUUUGAAAUUGAACUACGAAACUAAACGUCUUAAAUAUUUCAUAAAACAGACGUCUAUAAAACUUUUGACGUAUUUCAGAGUUAGAAACAAUCAACAACAAGUAUUACAAACAAAUUACGCUGAGUAGUAUAAACAGUUGUGAUUUCAUUAAUUACGAAACUAGCUAUAACGUAAUAAAGCAUGUUUACUCGAUUCGUUACAAUUUUUUCCCACAGUUACGUAAUAUUCCAUUAAAUUUUAUAAUCAAAAAUAAGGUUUGCACAAUUGACACGUAAAUAACUAAUUAUUUUUAAACGAACAUGUCCUGGUACAUAUAGCAAUGUCGAUAUUCGAAUUUGUAAUUCUUCAAGCAUUAAUUUACCUGAUGCUAUUUUAAUAUCGGACGCUUAUUAAUAACUUAAGAGUAUUCAUUACGUUCACCAAAUGAAAAGUGUUAAAAACGUCGUAAACGUCCUUGUAUGACCGUAAACACUAACAAAAUGGACAUGUUUUCUCCAUAAAUGUGUUUGGAAUUUUAAAAAAUGAAAAAAUUGUUAUCAACAAAUAAAUACGAAUAAAGAAAUCGGUCGUGUCAGAUAUUCCGUUUCAAAUUACGCGCGGCGUAUUUUCCUACUCUCGAGAAAGUUAAGAUGGCGUCCAGGCGAGUGCGCAUGCACAAGUUCCUCAAUGGUCGGGCAAAAACACAGCUGGUCUAUGAUCUCCGAAGCAAGCUGACGGUCGAACGCUAUCAAUGUGAUUUUCGUGAAAUACUUACCGAUCUACCGGUCAGAUCGUGAGGUCAAGGCGGACGCGUGCGAAAAUUCGUUUAGUGCUCGUUUCGAAGUGUUAGUGAGUGUGUUUAGAUGUAUGCAAAACUCGUUAAUCGCGGUGUCACCACGAGGAUUUUUCACUGCCCCGGAUACAAAGGAGUUUCGUGAGGUGCUUUGAGCGUCCUUUCGGCAACGGAAGCACGAGGCGAAAAAUGUCGGCGUCGGCGCCGUAAUUGGGCGAUCUUGGUAGAAAGGAAGCCGAGGGACGAACGGAAGAGGCGGGUAAGGACGAAAUGGCGUCUACGAGCGGGCACAAGAGGAACGGCUCGAGUUCGAGCAUGUUCACCCACAAACGCACCGAGUCCGGCGGUGGUUUUAUCGGCCACAAACGUUCCGAGAGCGGUCACAAGCGGGCCGAGAGCAUAUCCAGUGCCUUUGGCCACAAACGAUCCGAGAGUGGUCACAAGAGGAACGAGAGCGGCGGUGGUUUCGGGCACAAAAGGUCCGAGUCUGGCAGCAAUUACCAUGCCGGACAUCGAAGAAACGAGAGCAUGUACGCGAUGACAGGGCUUUACGCGGAAAGCACUGGGACAACCACCGACGAAACUACAGACCCAUUGCAGGCUACCGGUACCAGCAGACUGACCCAUGACACUGUCAUUAGGUGUCACAGUAGAAAUCCCAGUUCUGGCCUCGUGGACCAUAGAGAUUUUAUCAUCAAAUGUCACAGCAGGAAUCCCAGUGCUUCCAUGGUGGACAGAACGGAGAAAGAGAGGCCACAAACUCCACCAUUUAAUCCGGAUUCGAAGGACUGUGGAAUUCUGAGCUGCAGGCCGGCCUUUAUACAGAGAUUCGCCGGAAUAAAGGUGUUUGUGUUCCUCCUCUCGUUUCUCGUUACGCUGCAACAAGCACUUAGUUCAGGUUACAUUAAUUCUGUGAUUACGACAAUUGAGAAGAGGUUCGAAAUCCCGUCCAGCCUUUCAGGCGUCAUUGCAAGCUCCUACGAAAUCGGAAAUGUCAUCACCGUCAUUUUCGUCAGCUAUCUAGGUAGCCGCAGGCAUAUACCUGUUUGGAUAGCUAUUGGCGCUGUUAUAAUGGGACUGGGAUCGAUGAUCUUUAUGGUGCCACAUUUCACUGCUGAACCCAAUUUGAUGACGGCCGCAAAUAACUCCAGUUCUGAUAAUAUUUGUCGCGGAGUCUCGUUGCGUGAACAGGACAUGGGAUUGGGUCGUUUAUCGUCUGGAUUAUCAUCUCCUCCUCUGGGUCCGCAUAACAAUUUAAGAGGUGAUAAUUGCAUUCAAGGAUCUCCAUCUACAGCUGGCCCUGUUAUGUUAUUUGUACUUGCUCAGUUAUUAUUAGGCUGUGGUGGUUCUCCUUUGUUUACCCUUGGUACCACUUACAUAGACGAUCAUGUUCGACCAGAAAGUGCUUCUUUGUAUAUUGGUUGUAUGUACAGUAUGGCAGCUUUUGGGCCAGUUUUAGGUUUCCUUCUUGGAGCUUAUUUGUUAUCGUUUCACAUGGAUUCUUUUUCUGGAACUAUCAUCAGCAUAGAUCCAGGUGAUCAUAGAUGGGUUGGCAUGUGGUGGGGAGGAUUCCUUCUUUGCGGUUUACUCCUGAUUUUGGUGGCAAUCCCCUUCUUCAGUUUUCCAAAAACCCUGCAACGAGAAAAGGAAAAAAUACGAAUCAUCGAAAAAACAAAAUCGGCGUCGCAAAAAGAGAAGGAACCAUGCAAAGAACCGAAAAAGGAGAAACUCGAUGAUAGUGGUUACGGCAAAGAUGUAAAAGAUAUUCCUAGAAGUAUGUGGAGGCUCGUGUGCAAUCCAGUAUACGUGGUAACGUGUUUGGGAGCAUGCAUGGAGCUGGUGAUUGUCUCUGGCUUCGUAGUUUUUCUCCCAAAGUACCUGGAGACACAGUUCAGCCUGGGAAAGAGUCAAGCCAGUGUGUUCACCGGCUCGAUAGCGAUACCGGGUGCCUGCAUCGGAAUCUUCUUCGGCGGAUGUUUGCUCAAACGUUUAGAAUUAAGACCAAAGGGAGCGGUUCAGUUCGUUCUCGUAUCGAACAUCAUUUGCUUGGUGUGCUAUGGCCUCCUCUUUUUCCUUGGUUGUGACAACGUGAAGAUGGCUGGGACCACUAUUCCGUACUUUAACAGCAGCACGAAGGGCCCGGAGCCCUUUCAAGUAAAUCUCACUGCCGCAUGCAACUUUGGUUGCGAAUGUCGAAUGACAGACGUCGAACCGGUCUGUGGAAAUAACGGUCUCACGUAUUUCAGCCCUUGUCAUGCAGGCUGCACUGCCUUUAGCUCGAAAUCGAAUUUCACUAAUUGUGCAUGUAUACAUGGAAAUUUAACAUUAUUGCCUCCUGCAGCCCCAGAAUUCGCAGAAGUUACGGUAGUGCCGGUAGCUACUGCUGGUCCUUGCACUUCACCAUGCAGAACUAUAUUUCCUUUCUUAAUCUUACUUUUCUUUAUGACGUUUAUCGUUGCUAUCACUCAGAUGCCUCUAUUAAUGAUAGUGUUGCGGUCAGUCUCGGAAGAAGAGAGAUCGUUCGCUUUGGGCAUGCAAUUCGUAAUCUUCCGACUAUUCGGUUACAUACCCGCUCCUAUUUUAUUCGGUAACUUAAUUGACUCUACGUGCUUAUUGUGGAAAAGCACCUGUGGAGAAAAAGGCGGUCGGUGUCUUCUUUACGACAUCGAGCAAUUUAGAUAUAGAUAUGUUGGACUUUGUGCUGGCAUUAAGAUUUUAGCUUUGGCUUUGUUCCUUAUUGAUUGGUGGUUGGUUAGGAGGAGAAGACAAAUGGAAGACCAAGCGCCGUCUUUCACUGUUAACGAGUUUGUAGGGUCAAUUAUCAGUCUUGACAAAUUGUUUGAAGAAAAACCACACCAUCACAAUACAGGAGACGGUGACGGUGUUACUCCUAAUUCGGAAUUACACACACCGUCAUCGAUCUCGUCACCAACGGAGCCUACGAAAUCGACGAACCUGGAAGAGACUAGCUCGUCGAAUCAAACGCAGGAUUCGACGGAGACAGCGAAUCGAUCGAAGAACGCGACGAUUGUUGAUGUUCCCGACACGAGGCAAGCACCUCUUGCCAUAGAAGAGCCAGAUACGGAGGUGAAACCACUGACUGCUGGACAAACGGAAAAACUUGUACGGAACGUUUAAUGUUUAUCUCGCGUUAGUGGCUAUGCAAUUGAAUAUAUCAAAGUGGUGAUAACACGAGUCUGUGGCUAAUUGUUUUCAGGUGAACUAUCUAUACGUGUUAAAUAGAUAAUGAUCAUGAGUUAUAGAGGUGAUGGACAUUUUCCAAACUUCUUACAGUUAAAGGUCCAACUAUGGUCUAAUUCUGUGUACGCUACUUGUUCACAGGAUAAAAGAUUCUUUAUAACGACAUGCUAACAAUAAGUCAUCUUCUGUACAAGAAUGAAGUGUGAAUUUGAUAGAGUUUUAACGAUUCUCAGUUACAAGGUGGUCUUAUUUUAAUUAUGACACGGUUAAGUUUGAACUGUAUCUCUGAAUACCGUUCACCGAAUUUAGAAUCGCUAAAGGCGAGCUAAAUACUACAUAUCAAUUUUCUUCGUCGGUUCAAUCACACAAGCAGUAAGUAGAUAAAUGUAGAAGCUACCACGAAAACUCAUAAAUAGGAUGCGAAUGUUUAUACAUUUAUGAUAUCUCAAUCUCUCUUCACAAAAUAUCGGAAUCCACAGUCAGUUUGUAUCGUAAAUAAAUAUACAUUCACAGUCGAAUCAUAAGGCAGGAGGAAGGUUAAAGAAAUACCUUUGCCUAUUUAUUUUAGAAUUCUUCGUGUUUACAUCCAAUAUUUUCAUACUAUCUUCUCUAAGUAAGUGACAGUAGUGUUUCUUGUGGAUGGGGUUUUUUUAUUGCAUGACCCCUUACAGCUCUAUACUAUAAAGUAGAAUAAAGUAGUAUAAUAAAGUCUAUACUAUAAAGCCUAUAAAGUCUAUAGUAUCGUAGGAAACUGAAAUAGAGCCACUUUGUAACUUUGUAUCAUUAAAAUUCCGCAUAAUUAUAAUAGUUUCCUUUACAGAAUCUCAGUUCCUUCAGAAUCUAUUAUCCUUUGAAGAAUAGAAUAAGUGAAGUUAGUCUAUACUUGGAGCUUCAACUUUCAGGGUCUUCGUUACUUUUAUAGCUGAGUUCUCUCAUAAAUUAUAGACAAUGUGCAAUAUCGCCCCUAUAAGUCAUAACCAUUAUUUUCUUAACACCUUGUACAACGUACGUUUAUUAUUAACCCUUUGCAAUUUGACUUUUUUAAAUAGCAGAAUUCACUUAUUCUGUAAACUUCGUUAAUUUAUUCUAAUAUAAUUAUUGCAGUGAAUACAAAUUAUAAGAUAAUACAAGUUUGCAUUUUUACUAAAUCUUUCACGAAUUUACAUAUAUUUUAGACUGUGGUAUUAAAUUUGCACUUAAAAGUCACAGUUGAGUCACGAAGAGUUAAACAUUUUGACACUAAAAUCAGUCCCGCUGCUUAAAGAUUGUGGGAUUCGAGGCUAAAAUAAAAUAAGUAUUAUUGAAAAUAUUUACAGUAUUACCACGCGUUAUAUUGCCACGUGUUAUGUCGCCACGCGUUUGAAAAUUUCUAAAGUUCACUGCCUAAAAUAAUUGCUUUUUCGAUUAUCUUGGAAGGAUAUUUAAAUCAAGAUACUGCACUAAUAUUACGUAUGCCUAAGAACUGUGUUUAAAAUGCAAAGGGUUGAUUUGUACUAUUUUAAACAGUAAAGAGAAUGAAAUAUUAUAACUUUGAAUAAAAUGAUGGUUGAGUGAUUCGUAUACACACGUAUGGUGCUAAUAAUACUUUUUUAACGAGUUCGAAGAAUAAAGAAUUAUCUCAUAUCGUUCCGUAUACUAUCAGAUACAGAUUUAAAUUACGUUGAAGAUAUUAAGUGAAUCGUCUAUUCUUGCAUACACUUGGCGUGACCGAAAAUAUUUUUACAGCGGUUCUAUUUGCGUGAAAGACAACACUGUUUUAACGUAUGUACAAAAUGAUUCGCCACAGACUUGUCUUCUAUGGUUUGGCUAUUUUUUAGGAACUAAUAUCACUAGGGUGUACAUUUUUACGGUGAUGCGAUAUAUAUGUCAAUAAGUAGGAACUUAAAUAGGUGAAUUAAUAGCUCGUUUCUGUCAGGCAACUUGAAAUCGACUUAACAAAAAAGGGAAUACUAAAGUUCGCUCUGUGAAACGACUUUCAAUGAAACGAGCAUUUGCACGGUUUAAUACGAACGAAACAUAGAGAAAGAGAACCUAGGAAAGGAAUGGCCAACAAGGACAAACUGAAGAAAAAAGAUACACUAUCGAGAGCUGCGAUUUAUUUUAUAACUAGCGUUAGGCUUUCUCAUGAAAAAGAAGUAGUCAAUUUAACGUGUAGCGAUGUAAUACAGAAAAAAGAAACAAAAGAAAAAAAAGAAGUUAACACGAACGACGAUCGUAAGAAUAACUCGUUAACUCGUUUACAAAAUACUUUUGACACGAUGCAAUAGCCGUACGUUUUUAUUCUUCGCAGACAGAAUGUUAUCGUAACGAAAUCACGCUUUUAUUCUUUUUUUAACGAAGCGACACAUGAUCUCUAACGUUUGUUUCCUUCUGAGAUGAUGUAUCAACGACACGAUAUAAACUUAAGAGCUUUCAGAACUUGAAGCGUAUUUAUGAAAAGCGUUUAAGCGAUUUGUUUUCGUCGCAACGUUUGUUGUAUACACUUCGUGUCCUCUGCGUAGGAAUGAAUUAUGCUUCCAAGCUAAGAAACGAAAGAAUGUAGAGAAAAAAAAAUGAUUGCAAUGGAGUUUAGCUAUAUGGCUCUGAAUGAGGCUCUAUAGUAAAUGUCAAUUUAGAAUUACAACUAAUUAACCUGUAAAUUUCUAAAUUUCCAAACUUCGAAAUUCUUGAAUCUCCAUAUUUCUAGAUCCUCAGAUUUUCAACGGGCCAUAUAAACGCGAGCCAUGUAGCGGGACUGCACUGUACCGAGUUUUGUUGAAACAAACGGUAGCUCGACGAAAUCAUAGGGUCAAUUUGGAAAUCCGACUUUACACUGUUAACUCGGCUCGUUGUGUAGGGAGAGUCUACUUGUUGUUUUGUACCUGAAAGCCUCUCGUAUCAAUUUCGAUGGUAACAAAAGAUGAAACGAUGAAAGAAACUAUAUAAAAAAAAACUCACUCAGGAAAAUGAAAUUCUAUAGGGUGUAAGGGCACCUUUGAUUCAAUGGAAAGAUAUAUAGAGAAGAGACACGAGUAAUCAGUGCAAAAAAAUAAAAAAUGGAAUCCUAGCUUAAGAGAGAUAAUUAACAAAGAAAAAAAAACAAAAAGAAAAUAUAAUGUUACUCCUAUCAGCUCAAUUUUGUUUUAAAAGUAUGAAAGCAAAAUAACGUUGAAAUUUUACAAGAUGAACGCGUUUUAAACAGAUUGAUAAAUAAUUCUUAUAAGAGAACUCUAUUUGCAUGAAAUCGAUGAUUUAGACCGUUUUUCUCAGUCGCUUCGGGUAUGAAAUCGUUUUUCAAGAUAAAUAUAAAUAUAUAUAUACAUAUGCUUAUAUUAGAACGAAGUGAAGAGAAAGAUAGGUAAUUAUAUGUAAUAUGGUAAACCUCGACGAGUUCAGUGAUGUUAUUAUAUGUUAUAAAUGUGAUUGACAAAUGAUUUUAUCUACUCGAUAGAAAUUUGGUAAUUGGAAAAUUUGAAAGGUUCGGAAUCUAGUAAUUUCAAAUUUUCAAAUUAAGAAAUUAACUACCUGUUAUGUACGAAUAAAAUUAUUUUGUAAACUGACUUUUAUAACAUCUGCGAAAGUCACUGAAAUCAACGAGGUUUCCCUAUUGUACAAUUACUGAAACGAAAACUAACGGAAAAAACAUAGUCUUAAUUUUACACGGUCUCGAUAAACUAUAUGCUAAAGUUGUCACAGCAUUUACUUACGUUUAAACACUUACCCCUAUGUACGAAUAUAUCUCGCACGCUGUUUAACCCGCGUCACUGUCAAUUUUUCAAAUGUGUAGUCACACGCUACUCUCUCUCUCUAUACAUAUAUAUGUAUAUAUAUAUUUUAGAGGGAAAUUUUGAUGUUCGAAUGACGGUGAAACGUCCGCAGAGUCGAUCGUUCGAAACAUUUUAAGAGGCCGUGAUGAUCUCUCCUAAACCGCGUAUUGUGAAGAACUUAUAUUAUAUAUGUAUACAUAACUACUUUGUGAUAUAAAACAAAGUCGAACGAUAGACUGUGUCGGACGGACGUAGAAGACUCUGGAGAGAAACGUGAGGGGAAAAUGUGCUGUGAAUAAUAGAAAUGGAAAUUAUGAAAGAAAGAAAGUGAAAAAUGAAUACGCGUCGAAUCAAAUUUCAUUUGUAAUUUAAGGCUGAUUUAUAUUAUUUAUUCGAAGUAAGCGUUUCUACUAAAAUACAUACAACUACCAGUUCCUUUUAAUUCACUACAUUUGAUAAAAAUUUGAUUCAGAACGAACGUCAGGUUUCUUGCGCCAAUUUUAUAUCGUUCAAUAUUUUUAUACGAGUUUAGAAAAAUUCUACAACAAUUUUUUUCGAUAGAUCGUCAACUAAACUAGUACAUAUUUGACGUUUUUAUUAAAUAGAUUAUUAUUUGUAAUACACGAUACAAACGUGGAAAAAUAACUCGUCUGAAAGAAUACUAUAAAUCAGCUUUGAAACGUUGUUUUGUUGAGCGACGAGGAGGGAUGUCAAUUGUUCACGUCAUCCACCGCAACUGUACAUAAAAAAGUAGUUAGAACGGUUUAUAUCGAGCAAACUGGGGAUGAAGGAACACGCGUUACGUGUAAAGUACGCGUAUUAAUUAGGUCCUAAUUGUUAGGAGUUUACGUGAUUGUUAAACGAGCGAUCACGAUCUUCUGUUUCUGCAAGAAUAUUUUUGCGUUAAAGGGGAACGAACGAUUCACUCGCGUUCCGCACAAUUUUUCGAUCAUGUUACUUAAAUAAUUUUUUUUACGAAUGAUUUUCUCGGUAUUAUACAUUUCGUAGCGAAUCAUGCGUGCGUGUAAGAACAUUUUUCUUUUUAUCAAUUUACCAAACGCGUCCCGUGUCGGAUUGAUUAUCAAUCGUUUGAUACUGUCGAUCAUUUUUUCGAUUUACUUUUAAAGCAAAGAGCAAGUAAAACAUAUUAUAAUUAUAAUUUUAUUAUAAUCAAGCAUUAUGAUGUAAUUAUUAAUGCGGAUUUGCCAUGAAUCUUUAAUUGUACAUGACACGGAACUCGAUCAUGCCAAUAUCUAUUCUCAAUUUCAUUUAUACAUCAUUGUUUCUAUUAUUAUUAUUACUAUUAUUAUUAUUAUUAUUAUUAUUACUAUAUUAUCAUAAAUAUCAUAGCGCUUUGACUAUCAGUUAUACUAGUAUACUCAUCGUUAAUUAGUUUAAUUCCGUUUAUUUGUAGCCUAUUAAAUAUUUAGUCGGGAACGAUUGUUUCUGUUUCUUUUUCCUUUUUCUUUUUUUUGGUUAUAGGAUUUAAUUUAUUGUACACUCGGAUGCAACGUAGGCUUCUUUUAGUUAAGAGUAAGAGGAGAAAUUUUAGGGAAAAUUCUGGGUGAAUCCUACGAGUACCGUAGAAGAUCCUAAAAAGAGAACCCUGGGAAAGUUGUAGAAAGUCUUGAAAAACCCCUAGGACAUUCUUGAAAGAAUCCUAAAAGAACGUUAGGGAGGCCCAAGAAACGAUUCUUGCAGAAUUCUAGAAGAAUCUAAAGAGAGCCUAAUCUAGCAACUUGUCGAACAAAAUGGCGGCAGUUGAGUCACCUGUUCUCUUACAAUUCUUAUCAAUUAAAGGAAGCCUAAUUUGUACGUGACCGUACGUAAAACACAUUCCCAAGCCACAGUUAAAAGGAGCAGAAGCGAAAAGAUAAAACAAACAAAAAAAAGAAAAGAAAGAAGAUAUAUAACAGAGUUUAGAGAGGAUUGCGUUUAAAGUAUUAGGUAGGAAGUUCGAAAAUUAUAGCGACGAGAAUUAAAUUAAAGAAUGUUGUGUACAUAGAUAUUGACUAUUGUAUAUGAUUAAUAUAAACCGCUUAUAGAUGUAAUGUAUUUUUUGUAGGGACCAUAAUAUAUAAACAGAACAAUAUGAGACAUGUUAGAAUGGUACCGAUAAGGGUGAUACAAGUACGAUUAGGGCGAUGUUUCGUGAAUUAAGAAAAGCAAUACGCGUUUGCUUGCGGGAGGAGCUGAGCGUGAAGAGAAGAGUGUCCUGAAAAUUAUGAAUUCAGAGAUAUAUUGUACAAGCUCACUAAACAAAAUUCUAGGUACACGAUAUCGAGUGUUUUCGAGUCUGCGAUCGGCGAUAAACAGUUACAUUUUCUUUGUGAAAUUCUCAGGAAAGACCUGGUUAUCUUUGUGUUCUUUAACACGGUCUUAACUGUGUCUUCUCUGCGAAUCGAAUAAUUUCUUUAAGAACAUUGAAGUUAAUUGCCGUUCAAGGCUGCUUGCGAACGAGGCCAUUAAUGGAAAUCAUUGUAAAUUAACGUGGUUUAAUUGUUCUGUUGUACUAAGAUUGUUUCUCGUUUAUUUAACAUUUUAAAGUUUGUAUAGUUUAUAGUCUUAAAUUUCUUUAUUUAAUGGAAAACAUUACAGUAUAGUAACUAAAUAAUAUUGUACAUUCGGGAGAGACAGCGAUAAAGAUAAUUUGAACGUUUCUAAAGUUUUCGAUUCAAAGACAACUUUGGUAGAAGAAAAACAGCCUUGAACGUGAAAUUCAUCUUCGAACCGUUAACGAAUGAAAUUCCUAGGAAGAGAUACUUCAUUUACAAAGUUAUAGAAUAUAAGUAGUUUCAUAUUCGCAGGACUACAGUUGGUCCCAAAAUAGUAAAAUGAAUUAUGUUGAAGCGUCAGUGACGACUGAAAGCAUUUUAGUCCGACUCCAGCAGUUUAUAAUGCGAUGCCAUUUCAUACAACACAAACAAACAAACAAGCACCCACAUGUACACAGUCGUAUACACCGUACGUCACUUUGUUACGAUUAUUGUAUAUCGAAUAUUGUACGAAUUCUCACAAAAUGAGAUCGCUUAAAUUUAAUCGACGAGAGCAAAUCACCUGAUCGAUGUGUUCGUUCAUCGAGGAGAAACGAUCAUUUUGAAUGAAAUUCAAAUUGAUGGAAAAAAUCACAUCGAUCUCGUUGUUGAUCAGUGUAACACUCGAAAUAAUAUGCCUUAAAAAAAGAAAUGUAAUUCAUAAGGAUCGCUGAUGAUGGUACAAGUGGCGAGCGGAAAUCAAUGGUGACGGACGAUCGUAAUUUGCGGAGACAGAGAAAUAUAUAUAAUAUAUAUAUAUAUAUAUACAUAUAUGCAUAUAUAUGUAUACAUAUAUAAAAUCAUGUUAGGUAUAAGUAAAUCUCGUAUCGUCGAUUGAUUUAUCGUUUACUCGAUAAUUUUUAAACUCUUGCAUAGAAAGUAUGCUGUGCGUGCGUGAACGAAAAGACACACCGUGUUUCGUUUCGUUUUUAGGCAGAACAUUCAUGUUUUCGUAUCGACGCGUGCGAAUCUCUUCCUUAGGUUCGAGAACGAACACCGGGUGAAUCGUUAAAAUAGUUUUUAUUUCAUUCUUCUUCUUUUUCUUUGACCCGGAGAUGGAAAAAACGACGAGCGUCGUCUUUUGCUCAUUCCGCUGGGUUCAAAACUUAACUUUUUUUCCUCUCUCAGAAGUAAGGCACAAACAAUGUAUUUACAAUGAAUAAAUGUUUUGAAAACUGUUA